rnacentral:rRNA from 1 species
GACGAACCGUCCAAACGUUAUUCGGAAUCACUGGGCUUACAGAGUUCGUAGGCGGUCUGGAAAGUUGGGUGUGAAAUCCCUCGGCUCAACCGAGGAACUGCGCUUGAAACUACCAGACUCGAGGGAGAUAGAGGAAAGCGGAACUGAUGGUGGAGCGGUGAAAUGCGUUGAUAUCAUCAGGAACACCGGUGGCGAAGGCGGCUUCUGGUCGUUACCUGACGCUGAGGAACGAAAGCCAGGGGAGACGAAACGGG